rnacentral:rRNA from 1 species
AGUGAACGCUGGCGGUAGGCCUAACACAUGCAAGUCGAACGGCAGCACAGUAAGAGCUUGCUCUUACGGGUGGCGAGUGGCGGACGGGUGAGGAAUACAUCGGAAUCUACUUUUUUGUGGGGGAUAACGUAGGGAAACUUACGCUAAUACCGCAUACGACCUACGGGUGAAAGCAGGGGAUCUUCGGACCUUGCGCGAUUGAAUGAGCCGAUGUCGGAUUAGCUAGUUGGCGGGGUAAAGGCCCACCAAGGCGACGAUCCGUAGCUGGUCUGAGAGGAUGAUCAGCCACACUGGAACUGAGACACGGUCCAGACUCCCACGGGAGGCAGCAGUGGGGAAUAUUGGACAAUGGGCGCAAGCCUGAUCCAGCCAUACCGCGUGGGUGAAGAAGGCCUUCGGGUUGUAAAGCCCUUUUGUUGGGAAAGAAAAGCAGCAGGUUAAUACCCCGCUGUUCUGACGGUACCCAAAGAAUAAGCACCGGCUAACUUCGUG